UAGUCCACGCCGUAAACGAUGAUAACUAGCUGUCCGGGCUCAUAGAGCUUGGGUGGCGCAGCUAACGCAUUAAGUUAUCCGCCUGGGGAGUACGGUCGCAAGAUUAAAACUCAAAGGAAUUGACGGGGGCCUGCACAAGCGGUGGAGCAUGUGGUUUAAUUCGAAGCAACGCGCAGAACCUUACCAGCCUUUGACAUCCUAGGACGGUUUCUGGAGACAGAUUCCUUCCCUUCGGGGACCUAGUGACAGGUGCUGCAUGGCUGUCGUCAGCUCGUGUCGCGAGAUGUUGGGUUAAGUCCCGCAACGAGCGCAACCCUCAUCCUUAGUUGCCAUCAUUUAGUUGGGCACUUUAAGGAAACUGCCGGUGAUAAGCCGGAGGAAGGUGGGGAUGACGUCAAGUCCUCAUGGCCCUUACAGGCUGGGCUACACACGUGCUACAAUGGUUAGGACAAAGAGUCGCCAACUUGCAAAAGUGAGCUAAUCUCGUAAACCUAAUCUCAGUUCGG
rnacentral:rRNA from 1 species